rnacentral:rRNA from 1 species
UACGGGGGGGGCAAGCGUUGUUCGGAAUUACUGGGCGUAAAGGGCGCGUAGGCGGUUCGAUAAGUCAGCUGUGAAAACCACGGGCUUAACUCGUGGCCUGCAGUUGAAACUGUCUGGCUUGAGUGUGGGAGAGGAGAGUGGAAUUCCUUGUGUAGCGGUGAAAUGCGUAGAUAUCAGGAGGAACACCGGUGGCGAAGGCGGCUCUCUGGACCACAACUGACGCUGAGGCGCGAAAGCUAGGGGAGCAAACAGG